GUCGGAGUUGACUCAAAGACCAAUCACAUCACUUUUUGCUGAAACAUACCUCAUAACACAGAUAUCAUAUGAUGGAAAAUGAGAGACUUGAAUAGAAACACUCCAGAAUAUGUAAUCCGCUAUAUAAUUGAAUAUCUAUAUUACUAUUAAUUAUAUUACUAAUGCAUGCUCUGCAUUGUCGAAGUUGACUCGAAGACCAAUGAACGCACACCACUUAUUGCUGAAAUAUACCUGAUAUUCAACAGAGAUAUCCUAUGAUGGAAAAUGAAAGAUUUGAAAAGAAACACUCAAAAACAUACAAGUAUUGCAGAUUCACCCAUGUGCUUCGAUGGAUGUUACCAGAGUUGUGGUUUUUACGACAUUUAUAAAUUAUAGAUCCUGAAUAUGCAAUAGCAAGAUUUCAUUGUUAUAAUACCUAUGAAAUCUAUAUAGUUCCUGUAGAUCC